UACAGAGGCCUCGAGCGUUAGGCGGAAUCACUGGGCUUAAAGCGUGUGUAGGCGGACUUCUAAGUACCUUGUGAAAUCCCACGGCUCACCCGUGGAACUGCUCGGUAUACUGGUCUCUUGAGCCUUCUAGGGGCGAGUGGAACAAAUGGUGGAGCGGUGAAAUGCGUAGAGAUCGGGAGGAACACCGGUGGCGAAGGCGGGUCUCUGGGCAAUUCCUGGACGCUGAGGCGCGAAAGCGUGGGGAGCAAACGGG
rnacentral:rRNA from 1 species